AAGGGUAUAGCUUAAGUGGUAGAGCACAUGCCUAGCAUGCCUGAGGUUCUGGGUUCAAUCCCUAGUACCUCCA
rnacentral:tRNA from 1 species